UACGUAGGGUGCAAGCGUUGUCCGGAAUUAUUGGGCGUAAAGGGCUCGUAGGCGGUCUGUCACGUCGGGAGUGAAAACUCGGGGCUUAACCCCGAGCCUGCUUCCGAUACGGGCAGACUAGAGGUAUGCAGGGGAGAAUGGAAUUCCUGGUGUAGCGGUGAAAUGCGUAGAUAUCGGGAGGAACACCUGUGGCGAAAGCGGCUCACUGGACCAUAACUGACGCUGAUGCACGAAAGCUGGGGGAGCAAACAGG
rnacentral:rRNA from 1 species